rnacentral:RNase_P_RNA from 1 species
AAGGCAAGUUGUUCUACCGCUAUGUAUGCAAAUUACAUAGAGGAAAGUCCGGGCAACACAGGGUAAUCCGCCAUUUGAAAGGAUGGGUGCAAAAGCAGGAAUGUUUUUGUAACAGAAAGUGCCACAGAAAGCAAGGUAGCCUUGAAGCAAGUGCUUGCGCUUUGCAUCAGGGUGAUAGUGAAAAUGUGAGGUAAGAGCUCACAGGCAGAAUUAGUAAUAGUUUUGCAGGGUAAACCUCGGAUGUUGAAAGGCCAAAUAGGUUGCGGUAGUUAAGGCGACCCGUCUUAUUCUUGCGAAAGCAAGGAGCCGCAAUGGGUAGGUCGCAAAGAUAAAUGGUAGAUAUACCUUUCUCCUUAAAAAGAAAGACGAAACAGAACCCGGCUUACACGCUUGCAUUUAUU